UGGGGAAUCUUCCGCAAUGGACGAAAGUCUGACGGAGCAACGCCGCGUGAGUGAAGAAGGUUUUCGGAUCGUAAAGCUCUGUCUUAAGGGAAGAACGGGUCAGGGAGGAAAUGCCUUGGCAAUGACGGUACCUUAAGAGGAAGCCCCGGCUAACUACGUGCCAGCAGCCGCGGUAAUACGUAGGGGGCGAGCGUUGUCCGGAAUUACUGGGCGUAAAGCGCAUGUAGGCGGCCUGUUAAGUCAGGUGUGAAAACUGACGGCUCAACCGUGAGAUUGCACAUGAAACUGGCAGGCUUGAGGGCAGGAGAGGAGAGCGGAAUUCCUAGUGUAGCGGUGAAAUGCGUAGAUAUUAGGAGGAACACCAGUGGCGAAGGCGGCUCUCUGGACUGAACCUGACGCUGAGGUGCGAAAGCUAGGGUAGCGAACGGG
rnacentral:rRNA from 1 species